rnacentral:rRNA from 1 species
CAGUCGCCGCGGUAAUACAGAGGGUGCGAGCGUUAAUCGGAUUUACUGGGCGUAAAGCGUGCGUAGGCGGCUUUUUAAGUCGGAUGUGAAAUCCCUGAGCUUAACUUAGGAAUUGCAUUCGAUACUGGGAAGCUAGAGUAUGGGAGAGGAUGGUAGAAUUCCAGGUGUAGCGGUGAAAUGCGUAGAGAUCUGGAGGAAUACCGAUGGCGAAGGCAGCCAUCUGGCCUAAUACUGACGCUGAGGUACGAAGGCAUGGGGAGCAAACAGGAUUAGAUACCCCCGUAGUCCCUGUCUCUUAUAC